rnacentral:tRNA from 1 species
CCAUAGCUCAGCUGGUAGAGCGGAGGACUGUAGAUCCUUAGGUCGCUGGUUCGAUUCCAGCUAUAAGGA